rnacentral:rRNA from 1 species
AUGCCUGAGGCUUCACUCAUAGACAUCUUCCUCCCAUCCUCCUCCUCCUCAUCCGAUCCGUCGCAUCACUGGAAAGAUUCUAUUUGGGACUGCAGUGUCAAUGUACAAGGUGCACAGGAAUAUCGAUGUCGGGAGGCCGAGGUGAGGGCCUUCAUACAAAUUCCAGAUACUACUAUGUCGGUGGAGAUGAGAAGGCAGUGCAAGACGCAUCCCUAG